CGCGUAGGCGGUCUUUUUAAGUCAGAUGUGAAAGCCCCUCGGCUUAACCGAGGAAGUGCAUUUGAUACUAAGAGACUUGAGUAUGGGAGAGGGAAGCGGAAUUCCUGGUGUAGCGGUGAAAUGCGUAGAUAUCAGGAGGAACACCGGUGGCGAAGGCGGCCUCCUGGACCAAUACUGACGCUGAGGCGCGAAGGCGUGGGGAGCAAACA
rnacentral:rRNA from 1 species